rnacentral:rRNA from 1 species
GUGGAUUAGAUACCCUGGUAGUCCACGCUGUAAACGUUGCAUACUCGGUCUUAGCGAUAUACAGUUAGGACCUAAGCGAAAGCAUUAAGUAUGCCACCUGGGGAGUACGGUCGCAAGAUUGAAACUCAAAGGAAUUGACGGGGGCCCGCACAAGCGGAGGAGCAUGUGGUUUAAUUCGAUGAUACGCGAGGAACCUUACCCGGGCUUGAAAGUUAGUGACGAAUUCCGAAAGGAGUUUUUCUAGCAAUAGACACGAAACUAGGUGCUGCACGGCUGUCGUCAACU